AUUGAACGCUGGCGGCAUGCCUUACACAUGCAAGUCGAACGGUAACUGGUCUUCGGAUGCUGACGAGUGGCGAACGGGUGCGUAAUACAUCGGAACGUGCCUAGUAGUGGGGGAUAACUACUCGAAAGAGUGGCUAAUACCGCAUGAGAUCUACGGAUGAAAGCAGGGGAUCGCAAGACCUUGUGCUACUAGAGCGGCCGAUGGCAGAUUAGGUAGUUGGUGGGAUAAAAGCUUACCAAGCCGACGAUCUGUAGCUGGUCUGAGAGGACGAUCAGACACACUGGGACUGGGACACGGCCCAGACUCCUACGGGCGGCAGCAGUGGGGAAUUUUGGACAAUGGGCGAAAGCCUAAUCAAGCAAUGCCGCGUGCAGGAUGAAGGCCUUCGGGUUGUAAACUGCUUUUGUACGGAACGAAAAGCUCUGGGUUAAUACCCUGGGGUCAUGACGGUACCGUAAGAAUAAGCACCGGCUAACUACGUGCCAGCAGCCGCAGUAAUAC
rnacentral:rRNA from 1 species